GGGGAGAUGGAACAAUGUACCUUACUACUGGAAAGAAGAAAGAAUCUUUGAAAGCUUAUUUAAUGAGGUAGUCAUCCUGCAUGCAGGCAGCAGGAAGACAGAUGAUACCAACUCUAACGUAAAAUCAUCACGAGUUCACUCCUUGUUUUAUGACAAGAUUAGAGGUAUGCUGGGAGUACAAUGAGCAAAAGACUCUGAAGGCUGCUGCAAAGCUGCUGUGGAUAUACUGCAUUGGUUUCAGUCCAAUUUGGAACAGAGGCAUGUCCACUCACAUUCAGUAAUCAGUUGAAUAACGGGAAUUCUUUUUUAAUUUCCUUAAAAAGCUCAUGAGCAAAAGUUUAGAUGGAGACUCCACCUCUGAGUUUGGAAUCUGCCCGAUUAAAAUAAUUUAUCCUCUCCUUCUGCUAACAGUCAGCAGUUAUUUAACACUUCUGUAGUACUUCUUUAAUAAAGCCAACAGUAAUAACAGCAAAUUUUUAAAAUGUCAUGUAAAAUUCUCCCUGAAUUAUUGAAGGUACUAUUAGUUGGGGUGCCUUAUGCUAUAAGCAGAAAUUACAAGGGGACACUCUAUCACUACUCUGCUGAUGUGUGUGUCAGUCACAACACCCCUUAGAAUAACUGGGAGAAACUGACUGCGGAUUCUUCUGUACAAUAACAAAUUAUUACAACAUAACAAUGUUUGUCAGAGUAAUUUGAAAGCAGAAUUUGUUGUGAUUUAAACUGUGAAAAGAAAAAUUGCUCUGAAAAUAUUUUUUCAUACACAUUUCUUCUAACAGCCUUAAUUUCUUGUAAGGACUUUCUAAUUAAUGGAAUUUGGUGUGACUUCAUUAACUCACCAUUUCAAGAAGAUAGUCCAAUAUAUUUUCUUGAUCAUUAGUAGUAGAUAAAAAUAUGAAACUUCUAUUUCUUUUAUUGCAGCACCACCAUCAAGCAGCUGAAUUUAAACAAAGUAAUGAAAAACCCAGCAUAUCACAGGUAAACAAUGUGUAGUUGAGAAACAAAAUAAAAUUUAAUACUCUAGGAAAACAAAAAAAAUAAAGUUACACUUACUUUGCAUAAAAAGCUGGAAUAACCUUGUUAACAAUUACUUUGUGCCAUUCAUGUGAGAAUAUCUAAAAUUA